rnacentral:rRNA from 1 species
GGGUCAGUAGGUUGGUCGUGCCACCGGUACGUACUGGUCUCACUGAUUCCUCCUUCCUGAAGAACCGUAAUGCCAUUAAUUUGGUGUUGCGGGGAAACAGGACUGUUACUUUGAAAAAAUUAGAGUGUUUAAAGCAAGCUAACGCUUGAAUACAUUAGCAUGGAGUAAUGAAAUAGGACGAUCGAUCCUAUUUUGUUGGUUCCUAGGAUUGACGUA